AUGAGCGAAGGAUACCGCACCAAUACGGUAUGCUUUUUGAAAACAAGCCAUUACCGCAUGCUCAACCUAUGCCCCACCAAGUGGUCUCCUCCGGCUCAAGGAUGGGCAAACUUGAACGUUGACAGAUCGUUCUGCGCCACAUCGGGAACUGUGGGGGCGGGCAUGAUUCUGCGCGGCUCCACCCGCGACAUCAUUUUCUCAUCCUAUAGAGAGUUGCGCACAUGUACAGAACCAUUGGAGGCUAAGCUCUCAGCUUGCAUGGAGGGCAUCAAUCUCACCCUGCAAUGGUCGGAGAUGCCGAUAGAAGUAGAGACGAACUGCCUUGUCGCUCUUAACAUGAUUAAUGGCCCGAACAGGGACCGGUCUCGCUAUACCAUGUUGGUUGAUCAAAUUCAAAGGCUUUUGAGGGAAGGGAGGAUGUUCAAGCUAUCUCAUGUUCAUAGGGAACAGAAUGGUGCAAGCCAUUAUCUGGCCUCCUUUGGACGGACAGAAGGUCGCAUUGUGGUGUGGUUGGGUUCGGGACCAGGAGACGUCCCUAAUAUUUGUAAGUGA
rnacentral:rRNA from 1 species